rnacentral:sRNA from 1 species
GCCAGGCAUGAUACCAUGCACCUGUCAUCCCAGCUAUGGGGAGGCUGAGGCAGGAGGAUCACUUGAGCCCAGGAGUUCAGAGCCAGACUGGGCAAGAUAGUGAGACCCCUGGGUCUCUU